CACCCGCUGUGUGUGUGUGUGUGUGUGUGUAUGUAUGUAUAUAUAUAUAUAUAUAUAUAUAUAUAUGUGUAUUUAUAUAGAUACAUACACACACACACACAAACACAUACACUGCUGU